rnacentral:rRNA from 1 species
CCUGGUGUCUCGAGCGGCGGGGGUACACCUGUUCCCAUCCCGAACACAGCAGUUAAGCCCGCCAGCGCCGAUGGUAGUUCCCCUUUGCGGGGUGCGAGAGUAGGUCGACGCCAGGA